ensembl:lncRNA
GCUUUGAAUCAAUGUCCCUGCCUCAUAGUCCAAGUCAAGACAGUUGUGUGUCUCAUACGUCCAGUCGAUCAACUUCAUUUGAAGAGGCUUGCAAAGGUGAUGCAGACACGACACCAACUAGGAGAUCAAGAGCCACUCAUACUUUGACAAUUCCCACAAAUUCUCACCGGGAAAUGAGGCGCUCUGCAUCUGAGCAGGCGCCCCAUGUUCCUCAACAUGCUAACCUUAUUACGGAAACUCGCAGUAAGUCGUUUGACUACAGUAGUUUGUCUCCAGAUCGAACCCCUGCAGGAUGGAGAGAAAGGCGGAAAUGCCUUCUAAUGAGGCAUAGUGCAGUGAGGGAACCUGAGGAGGAAGACCAAUCUUCUAAAGCCAUCAACACCAGUUAUCCCACUCGAAGGACUAACACAUCACCUAGCUAUAGCCCAGGCACCUCCUACAGUCCAACCACCACCCAUCUUGUGACCUUAAGCAAUACUUUACAUUCAUUUGGUGAGAAGCAGGCCAUGCAAUCACAGUAUGUUUUAUCAGAGAAUACCCAGCAGAAUGCAUUGCAGUUGACCCCAAUGAUUCACACUGAUCAGCUUACAACAGUGGGAAGUCUUCUUUGUCCAUCAGGUGCUGCCAGAGCUCAUUAUUCUUCAAUGUCGACGGGACUAAAGCUUGAAAUUCCACUGGAGAAUGAACUGGUGAAUUCUGAUACAAGGGUCAACCAACCAUACCUCACUCAUUAUCACCAUCAGAAUCUUGAUUUUGAUGUUACUUCAAAUCCAGAACCACUGAGACCUUUACCAGCCCAGAGAAUUCCAGUCCGUCUCAAUUCACACCUUCCUCAUUAUGCAGGCUCAAUUUACACUACAGUUUCACAAACAUUUACCGCAAGGCCUCAGGAACCUUGCUGCUCUGGAGUCAGUUCAGUUGCAGUGGCGUCGAAGUUUGAAAUCAUGGACCAACAGCCAAUAUCUGAUGGAUCCAAAUCAGCAAGUGCUGGUGCAACCAAACGUGUGCUGUCCCCCACGAACAGUGAGGAGCUCAUCCCAGAAAGUGAGCAACAACAAAAACGAGUGAAAGAGGAGGAGGACAAUCAGGAAAAUGAAAGUAGAAAUGAUAAAGUUUUGAUCGAAUGCAAGAAGGAAGACAGACUUGGUGAGCAAAGUGUCAUCUUCCCUAUAGAACACAAAGAACCAUCAUUUCCGACUCUUAACACUAACCUUAAUUUUAGCUGGUGCUAUCUAAA